rnacentral:lncRNA from 1 species
GGGGCAGCCGGGCCAGGGCCGAGCGGGGCCGCGCGCCUGCUCCUGCUCCUCUCCCCCGGCCUCGAAUGAGCGCUUCCCGGGCUCCCGGAGCUCAGAGGAAGGCGUAGCCAGAGAUCGCUCGCUCCCUCUCCCUCUCCCUCGCUCGCACUCUCCCUGCCCUCCCCCCUUGGUGUUCCUUCCAGCUCAGCCUCCUUCUCAUGCCAUCCCUACGUGCCCAGAGCUUCAAAUACAACCCUCCCAGCACCAGCCCAGGGCACCAAACUUCAGCCAGCCGUCCCUCUGCCUGGAAGUGGUGGCCAUAGGACCCGCAUGACACCCUCUGCUAACCGUGGGCUCCGCCCUGGCAUGUCCCCCUCAACAAACAGACCCGACUGGUGACCUCGUGGAGCUUGAGGUCCAGCAGGAGAGAAGGCAAUGAGAGAAGGACCACACAGGUAAAUUGGAAGGGACAUCAGUGACGAAAUGCUCUGAUCGAAAGGUGCAGAGUUGGGGCUCUGAGUACGUCCCAGGGAGAGACCUGGUGGAGUGCAGUGGUGGGGAGGGGGCUUUCCUGAGGAGGGGGUGCUGCGACU